CAUGUGGGUAAUUCACUUGUUCAGAUGAGGAUUUCUGGUUGUCUCUGUAGGCUGCAGAGCCUGGCAUAAAAGAUGCCCAGCCAGAGACCACAGCUCAGAGAUAAUAUCCUCAUCGAGGCCAGAGACCUUCAUAUUCUCAGAAGUUAAAAGGCCAGAAAGAAAAAAAGAGAAGACACAAAUUACCAAUGUGGAGAAUGAGAAAGAAAAUGGGCGCACAUUCCAGUUUCGAACACAUGUAAAUGAUAGCCUACUAGAUGGGUAACCUGACAUCCUAGAUCUCCCAUCUUGAAGAUACAAGACCACAUAUAAGCCGCCAGCCCCUGACCAUAAUGUGCCCCUCCACUGAGGGUUCAAAUGAUAUUCUCUCUUAGUGUAUACUUUUAUGAUUCUG